GUCUACAGCCAUACUACCCUGAACAUGCCUAAUCUUGUCUGAUCUCAGAAGCUAAGCAAGGUCGGGCCUGGUUAGUACUUGUAUGAAAGAGUAUAUAUUCCCAGUUUCUUGGGGUAAAUGGCUCUGAAAAUG
rnacentral:rRNA from 1 species